rnacentral:rRNA from 1 species
UACGUAGGGUGCGAGCGUUGUCCGGAAUUACUGGGCGUAAAGCGUGCGCAGGCGGUUUUGUAAGCCAGAUGUGAAAGCCCCGGGCUCAACCUGGGAAUGGCAUUUGGGACUGCAAGGCUUGAGUGCGGCAGAGGAGACUGGAAUUCCUGGUGUAGCAGUGAAAUGCGUAGAUAUCAGGAGGAAUACCGAUGGCGAAGGCAGGUCUCUGGGCUGACACUGACGCUCAUGCACGAAAGCGUGGGGAGCAAACAGG